GACGAACGCUGGCGGCGUGCCUAAUACAUGCAAGUAGGACGCAGUUGCGAACGGGUGAGUAACGCGUAGGUAACUACCUAUUAGAGGGGGAUAACUAUUGGAAACGAUAGCUAAUACCGCAUACUAGUAGAUGGACCUGCGUUGUAUUAGCUAGUAGGUAGGGUAAUGGCCUACCUAGGCAACGAUACAUCGCCGACCUGGUGGGGUGAUCCGCCCACCUGGGACUGGGACACCGGCCAGGCUCCUACGGGAGGCAGCAGUAGGGAAUCUUCGGCAAUGGGGGGAACCCUUGCCGAGCAACGCCGCGGUAGUGAAAAAGGUUUUCGGAGUGGAAAACUCUGUUGUGAAGGAAGCGGUACUUAACGAGAAAGCGACGGCUAACUACGUGCCAGCAGCCGCGGUAAUUC
rnacentral:rRNA from 1 species